rnacentral:lncRNA from 1 species
UCUCUUCUGUUCCGCGUCCUCCACCUCGGUAGCCCCUGGUGACUCUGUUACAGCCUCUGUUGACCUAUGAUCUGCAGGGAGACGCACAGCCAGGACAUCCUGGAACCUGGGAAAGGGGACUCUUGACGUUUAGGUAUGUGGCCAUAGAAUUCUCUCUGGAGGAGUAGCAGUGCCUGGACACUGCACAGCAGAAUUUAUAGAGGAAUGUUAUGAAAACCUGGCCUUCCUGGGUAUUACUGUCUCUAAGCCAGACCUGAUCACCUAUCUGGAGCGAGAAAAAGAGCCCUGGAAUAUGAAGUGACAUGAGAUGGUGGAUGAACCCCCAGGUAGGUUAGAGUGAAUACAACAGACAACAUGGAUGAGAGGCCCAAAUCAAGAAGAAAGCAAGUCUUUAAAGUGAUUUGGGAAGCUGUGUUCAAAAGGAAAUAGUUUCUGGAAAGCCUGAAAUUUUUAAAAAUUAUACUCUCACGUAGGGGCAUCUUAUGUCUUAUGUUUAUAAAAUUUCUAAGAAUUCUAAUUUCCCUUCAGUGUUCUUCCUUCAAAUUUACAGUGACAGCUAAAGUACUAUUCAUGACAUACAAAAAGAGUGCACAAUCUGACUUUUUUCUUGUUUUUGUGGACAGAGAGAUAUCUCCAUAAUUUUGAGAUACUCUAUGUUAAACUAUUUUUUAAGUUCUCUUUUUACAUCACGUCUGAAAUGCACGAGAGUGACGGUUUCUGUUUCACUGGUUUUCUUGUUCAUUUUUUCUGCACAUUUCAUCCUGUUUUCAUUACCAUAGUUUUGAAAUAUAGUUUGAAAUUAUAAAGUAUGAUGUCCUUCUGCUUUGUUCUUUUUUCUUAAGAUUGCUUUGGCUAUUCAAAGUUUAUUGUAGUUUCAUCUAUGUUUUAGGGUUGUGUUUUUCAUUACUGUGAAAAAAAAACACUGGAAUUUUGACAGGGAGUUUAUUGAAUCUAGAGAUCACUUUGGAUAAUAUGGCAGUUUCACAAUACUUAUUCUUUCAGUAGAAAUAAAAUAUUUUUAAAUUUAUUUGUGUCCUCUAAUUUUUUUCAUUGAUAUAUCUUUCACUUAAAAGAUUUACAAGCUCCUUGUUUAAAUUUGUUCUAAAAUUAAUUAUUUCAUUGCUAUUGUAAAUAAGAUUUUUUUUCUCUCUUUUAUCAGACCGUUUGUUUUAAGUGUAUGGAACCAUAACUUAUACUUGUAUGUUAAUUUUAUAUUUUUAGUUUAAACAAGUUUUAAUGUACUGUUUAUGUUUUUUUUUUAUAUAUAAGAUUACAUGGUCUACCAACAGCAAUGUUUUACUUUUGGUCUUCAAUUUCAAUGACUUUAAAUUUUUCUUUUGACUAUUUCUUCAUCCACAUACUUUCAGUGCUAUGUUAAAAUAGAAGCAUUGACAAUAAGAAACAAUUGUUUUGCAAUGGGGUCUGUAAAUUUAAAGGAGCAAACACCUCUUCAAGAUUUUAUAAACUGGUUUCAGAGAGC